rnacentral:rRNA from 1 species
UACGAAGGGAGCUAGCGUUGUUCGGAAUCACUGGGCGUAAAGCGCACGUAGGCGGAUGUGUCAGUCAGGGGUGAAAUCCCGGAGCUCAACUUCGGAACUGCCUUUGAUACAGCACGUCUUGAGUCCGAUAGAGGUGGGUGGAAUUCCUGGUGUAGCGGUGAAAUGCGCAGAUAUCAGGAAGAACACCCGUGGCGAAGGCGGCUCUCUGGGACGGUACUGACGCUGAGACGCGAAAGCGUGGGGAGCGAACAGG